CCAUCGGGGGAUGGCCUUAGUACGGCGAGUGAAGCGGCAAAAGCUCAAAUUUGAAAUCUGGCACCUUCGGUGUCCGAGUUGUAAUUUGAAGAAGGUAACUUUGGAGUUGGCUCUUGUCUAUGUUCCUUGGAACAGGACGUCACAGAGGGUGAGAAUCCCGUGCGAUGAGAUGCCCAAUUCUAUGUAAAGUGCUUUCGAAGAGUCGAGUUGUUUGGGAAUGCAGCUCUAAGUGGGUGGUAAAUUCCAUCUAAAGCUAAAUAUUGGCGAGAGACCGAUAGCGAACAAGUACAGUGAUGGAAAGAUGAAAAGAACUUUGAAAAGAGAGUGAAAAAGUACGUGAAAUUGUUGAAAGGGAAGGGCUUGAGAUCAGACUUGGUAUUUUGCGAUCCUUUCCUUCUUGGUUGGGUUCCUCGCAGCUUACUGGGCCAGCAUCGGUUUGGAUGGUAGGAUAAUGACUAAGGAAUGUGGCUCUACUUCGGUGGAGUGUUAUAGCCUUGGUUGAUACUGCCUGUCUAGACCGAGGACUGCGUCUUUUGACUAGGAUGUUGGCAUAAUGAUCUUAAGCCACCCGUCUAAAAAACGGGACAAAAAACCAGUAUAAAUAAAAAA
rnacentral:rRNA from 1 species